GAGACAGCAAAUAGACAUGGUAGGAGAGAGAGAGAGGAAAGUUUGAGAGAUAGAAGUUACUCUUGGAGGACAAAAGCAUUCCUGAAAAGAUGGGUUUUGAGGGACUUUUUAAAGCAUUGAAGACUAGGAGAGAGUCUGGCAGGGGUAGGCAGGCUGUUCCAAAGGAAAGGAGCCGCCCGUGAGAAGUCUUGCAGGCGUGAAUUUGCAGUAAUAGUGUGAGCAGCAGACAGGAGAAGGUCACUAGUAGAGCGGAGAGACCGAGAGGGGGCAUAUCUAUGAUUCAGUGAAGAAAUGUAAGAGGGUCUAGUGUUGGUUAGAGCUUUAUAGGUAAGGGUUAGUAUUUUAAAUUGACACCUGUAGGCGACAGGAAGCCAGUGUAAGGAUCGACAGAAGGGUGAGGUGUGAGAGGAGCGACAGGAGAGAAAGAUCAGCCUGGCAGCAGCAUGCACCACAGAUUGUAGGGGGGCAGUACGGCUUCUGGGGAGACAAAUUAGGAGAGAAUUACAGUUUCCGUUGCGAGAGAUUACUAGAGUGUAAACAAGCUCCAUGGCAGCAUCUUGCGUAAGAAAGGGGCAUAUGCGGGCAAUGUUUUUAAGUUGGAAUCAACAGUUUUUAGCAACAGACUGGACAUGAGGCGCAAAGGUAAGGCCAAGAUCAAACGUGACACCAAUACAGCAAGUGUGAAAGGAUGGAGUGAGGCAGGUACCGUCAACCUGCAGGGAGAGUGAAUGAGAAGGAUCAGUGUUAUGAGGAGGAAAAAUAAGAAACUCAGUUUUAGAGAGAUUGAGCUUCAGAAAGCGGGAGGACAUCCAUUCAGAGAUAGAAGAAAGGCAAUUGGUG